rnacentral:rRNA from 1 species
CAAGAUUAAAACUCAAAGGAAUUGACGGGGACCCGCACAAGCAGCGGAGCAUGUGGUUUAAUUCGAAGCAACGCGAAGAACCUUACCUAGACUUGACAUCUCCUGAAUUACUCGUAACAGAGGAAGCCCUUCGGGGCAGGAAGACAGGUGGUGCAUGGUUGUCGUCAGCUCGUGUCGUGAGAUGUUGGGUUAAGUCCCGCAACGAGCGCAACCCUUAUCGUUAGUUGCUACCAUUAAGUUGAGCACUCUAGCGAGACUGCCUGGGUUAACCAGGAGGAAGGUGGGGAUGACGUCAAAUCAUCAUGCCCCUUAUGUCUAGGGCUACACACGUGCUACAAUGGCCGGUACAACGAGAAGCAAACCCGUGAGGGGGAGCCAAACUAAAAAACCGGUCCCAGUUCGGAUUGUAGGCUGAAACUCGCCUACAUGAAGUUGGAGUUGCUAGUAAUCGCGAAUCAGAAUGUCGCGGUGAAUACGUUCCCGGGUCUUGUACACACCGCCCGUCACACCAUGAGAGCCGGUAACACCCGAAGCCUGUGAGGUAACCGCAAGGAGCCAGCAGUCGAAGGUGGGAUUGGUGAUUGGGGUGAAGUCGUAACAAGGUAGCCG